rnacentral:lncRNA from 1 species
UGCUACUUCCCUCAUUCCCAACAUGAAUUAAGUACCUGCAUUGAGUAAUGCAAGAGUGAGAUGAAACAUCUCAGCAAGUAAAAUAUUUUGACGAGAUAUUUAAACCAAAAGAAUUGAAUUAAUCAACAUUUUAAAAGGGAUCACAAUUGAGAUCAGAAAUACUUGUAGAUAUAGAACUCAAUAGUCCCAAAAUAACCAAUGCCAUCUCAUUUCCUCGAACGACCACAAUAGGUUGUAUAACACUUCCCUGCGUCAACAAUACCUACAAAUAUCACUUCAAUGUAUGCAUAGGAAUGCAAUGUGUAAGUCCUCUGCCUUCAUAUCUCUUAGAGUAUAAAACCACACUAUCUGCAAAUAUCACUUCAAUGAAUGCAUAUGAAUGCAAUGCAUAUGUCCUCUGCCUUCAUACCUCUAAGGGUAUGAAGCCGCAUCGUACCCCUCCUCGGGCAACGUACGAUGCUAAGUUGUACCGGUACGGUCGGACCAUAGGUCACGACAAAACUUCAGAUGCAAGUGAAUCAUGCAAUGUAUAUGGCAUGCUGCAUUUAUCAAUAUACUUCACUUCCUUCAAAUACAAUACAAACCUCAAACAAUACUUCGUUUACCUUCAGAUACAAUACAAACCUCAAAUAAUACUUCAUUCACCUUCAGGAGUGUGAAUUAAUCUUGUGGGUCAUACUCGAAUCAUCAUCAUCAUUAAUAUAUGAUUAAGCAUCAAUAUAAUACAAUCAAGUAAAGCAUCCCAUAGAGUUCAAUUACGAAAGAAUUCGAUGAUUCUGAAUAUUAGAGUUUAGGCGAUGAAACAACAAGUCAAAACGGUAGCAACCACCGCUACAUUCACUUGCCUUCAUCGAAGAAGAAAAUGUACUAAGCAUGAUCCAGAGCAUAACCACCAAUUCUUGAAGAGGAACGAUGACGACGACAGGCGACUGUGUGCCCUAAUCUUCCCUCUCUUCUCUCCCUUGUUCUUCCUUUCUUCUCUUGGGCAAGGCACAAAAGGGGAUGGCUG